GGCUCAGAACGAACGCUGGCGGCAGGCCUAACACAUGCAAGUCGAGCGCCGUAGCAAUACGGAGCGGCAGACGGGAGAGUCACACGUGGGAACGUGCCCUUCAGUUCGGAACAACCCAGGGAAACUUGGGCUAAUACCGGAUACGUCCGUAAGGAGAAAGAUUUAUCGCCAUAGGAGGGGCCCGCGUCGGAUUAGCUGGUUGGCGGGGUAACGGCCCACCAAGGCGAUGAUCCGUAGCUGGUCUGAGAGGAUGAUCAGCCACACUGGGACUGAGACACGGCCCAGACUCCUACGGGAGGCAGCAGUGGG
rnacentral:rRNA from 2 species